rnacentral:misc_RNA from 1 species
GAUGAAGAACGCAGCGAAAUGCGAUACGUAAUGUGAAUUGCAGAAUUCAGUGAAUCAUCGAGUCUUUGAACGCACAUUGUGCCCUCUGGUAUUCCGGAGGGCAUGCCUGUCCGAGCGUCAUUGCUGCCCUCAAGCACGGCUUGUGUGUUGGGCCCCGCCCCCCGAUCCCGGGGGGCGGGCCCGAAAGGCAGCGGCGGCACCGCGUCCGGUCCUCGAGCGUAUGGGGCUUUGUCACCCGCUCUGUAGGCCCGGCCGGCGCCUGCCGGUCAACCAAACUUUUUUCCAGGUUGACCUCGGAUCAGGUAGGGAUACCCGCUGAACUUAAGCAUAUCAAUAAGCGGAGGA